CUAUUAGAGGGUCCAGAUGGUAACACAGUAGUUAGGUGCAUCUUUCCGCACUAGAUCAUUGCCCCGUAACACCAUCCAGGGCUUCUUCCCGAUCGAUCUGCGACUCUUGUUGUCGAAAAAAGCAGCGGGAGAGAAGAAGAUGGUGAAGGUGUUGACCUACUUUGGGAUGACAUUGGCUGCUUUCGCCUUCUGGCAGUCAAUGGACAAAGUUCAUGUCUGGAUCGCUCUUCACCAAGACGAGAAGCAAGAAAGAAUGGAGAAGGAAGCAGAGGUCAAGCGGGUUAGAGCAGAGCUGCUGCGGAAAGCUAGAGAGGAGGAUCCUCUUGCCUGAUCACGUUGUUUUUGGCUUUCUAUCAAUUCCCUACUCUCCUCCUUCACAUUUUAUUGGACCAUUAAUCGAGUUUGCAUAACAUAUAUGCUUUUGAAUUUGUGAUGAUCAUGAAUAAUAUAGCCUUCUUUGUAUCUCGCUCUUCCUUUGUCUUCCACAACAUUCUGUCUGUAAUUCUUGAUCUGCCUUUGUCUUCC